CAGUCGCCGCGGGAAUACGGAGGGUGCAAGCGUUAAUCGGAAUUACUGGGCGUAAAGCGUGUGUAGGUGGUUGUUUAAGUCUGUCGUGAAAGCCCUGGGCUCAACCUGGGAAUUGCGAUGGAUACUGGGCGACUAGAGUGCGGUAGAGGAUAGUGGAAUUUCCGGUGUAGCAGUGAAAUGCGUAGAGAUCGGAAGGAACAUCUGUGGCGAAGGCGACUAUCUGGGCCAACACUGACACUGAGGCACGAAAGCGUGGGGAGCAAACAGGAUUAGAUACCCCGGUAGUCCCUGUCUCUUAUAC
rnacentral:rRNA from 1 species